rnacentral:rRNA from 1 species
UACGGAGGGUGCAAGCGUUAUCCGGAUUUACUGGGUUUAAAGGGUGCGUAGGUGGGUAGGUAAGUCAGUGGUGAAAUCUUCAAGCUUAACUUGGAAACUGCCAUUGAUACUAUUUAUCUUGAAUACUUUGGAGGUAAGCGGAAUAUGUCAUGUAGCGGUGAAAUGCUUAGAUAUGACAUAGAACACCAAUUGCGAAGGCAGCUUACUACACAGUAAUUGACACUGAGGCACGAAAGCGUGGG